rnacentral:tmRNA from 1 species
GGGGGCGUAACGGUUUCGACGGGGGCUUUGAGCACCGGUCAGCGGGUAGAGGCGCGACACUCUUAAAACAGCGCAAUCGUUAAAUAAUUAAACGACAACGAAACAACUCUUCUUGCUGCCUAACUAAUGCAGCCGUCCGCCCCGCGAGUACCGCGGCGCGGGGAUGGGCGUCACUCAGCGGUGAACGUUUCGCGGGAAUGUUCCGCCCCGUGAGAUGCCUCAGGAACUGUCUGACCUCGGAGCCUGUUUAUCGGCGCCCCGGAAAGAGAGCAUCAAAAGAUAAACUACACCCGUAGAAGACCGUUGUAAGAGGCUUUCGGACAGGGGUUCGACUCCCCUCGCCUCC